AGAUCAAUAUAUUGGUCAUGCUUAGGUAUGUACUGGUAUUAUUGAUUUCUCCUCUGAAGAACCAUGAUGUCAUUAAUUUGAUGUCGUGGGAGAUCAGGACUGUUACUUUGAAAAAAUUAGAGUGUUUAAAGCAGGCUUUCGCUUGAAUACAUUAGCAUGGAAUAAUGAAAUAGGACGUUUGAUUCUAUUUUGUUGGUUUCUAGGAUCGACGUAAUGAUUAAUAGGGAUAG
rnacentral:rRNA from 1 species